UUGAACGCUGGCGGCAGGCCUCACACCUGCAAGUCGAGCGGAUGAAGGGAGCUUGCUCCUGGAUUCAGCGGCGGACGGGUGAGUAAUGCCUAGGAAUCUGCCUGGUAGUGGGGGAUAACGUCCGGAAACGGGCGCUAAUACCGCAUACGUCCUGAGGGAGAAAGUGGGGGAUCUUCGGACCUCACGCUAUCAGAUGAGCCUAGGUCGGAUUAGCUAGUUGGUGGGGUAAAGGCCUACCAAGGCGACGAUCCGUAACUGGUCUGAGAGGAUGAUCAGUCACACUGGAACUGAGACACGGUCCAGACUCCUACGGGAGGCAGCAGUGGGGAAUAUUGGACAAUGGGCGAAAGCCUGAUCCAGCCAUGCCGCGUGUGUGAAGAAGGUCUUCGGAUUGCAAAGCACUUUAAGUUGGGAGGAAGGGCAGUAAGUUAAUACCUUGCUGUUUUGACGUUACCAACAGAAUAAGCACCGGCUAACUUCGUG
rnacentral:rRNA from 1 species